UAGCGGGAAAAUGUUUUCCCCAAACAUUACAAAAUCCCGCUAUACACUUUGUUUCCCUCUUAUUGAAAAUUUUCAUUUUCACCAUUACCCUCUAGUUACCUCCAGUCACCCACGCUUCAAAAUCACAUUGUUUUCCACCUGCGCCUUAAAUCCCAAAUCUCCAUCAUCAUCGCUAUUGUGAUGUCUGUAGCCUUAAAAUCGUCGUCACUCAACCUACACAAGUCGCCAAUGCUCAACCUCCGCAACUCGCCACCGCUGCCUGCUACCAUUGCUUUCCGUUGUGUUCUACCCAAGCAUCGCCAUAUCAGAGAUGCACAACAAUUGCUUGACGAAAUGCCUGAAGAGAUUAUGUCUGCAAUUCCACCAUUCACCCCCUCCCUCGCUCUCCGCACCGCCGAAAAAUGCAAUACAUGCUAUUAGAUGUGAAGCCCUUGUUUAAGCCCAUGCUCAAGAAUUCGUUCUAUCUUCCAGGUCAAGCCGCAGGUAAAAAACUGACUUUAGAUUUAUAGUAUUAUUUCUUUCUUUCUUUCUUUCUUUUCUUUCUAAUACAUCAUUAUUUAGAAAAUAUAGGCAAGGAUAGCAUCAUUGUACAUUUAAUUUUUCUCAUAUAAAGGCAUCAUGCUGUGAAAUAUUUACCAUGUUUGGAUAGAUUUCUAAAAUCAGUGAAAGUACACUACUAUGUUUGGAUAAAUUUCUAAAAAAUGCAAUACUCUAAAAAAAGAAGUCAUAGAAACAAACAAGAAGUUUAGGCUAAAACAUGAUCACUGGCAACCAACUUUUGCAUAUUUAAAUCCUAUCAAAAUUACCAAAGUUAUAUUGAUCAUAUUUUAAUGAAGUUAAACUAGGAUCAAAAGAAUUGUUGAAAUCAGAAAUUAUACAGUUUCUGUAGCAUUGUAGCAUAAAUGGUUCAUGUAGUAGUAGAUUAUAUGGUUGGUUAACUCUAAUUUUUAUAGCUUAAAUGGUCAUUGUAACUUCAAUAUACAUCAUGCUUGUUAUUUGGUUGGUUAACUCUAAUUUUAGGCUAGCCUCCAAGCAAGAAAAAAGGGAGCACAAAUACCACCACCACCAUACGUUCUCUCUUUCUAUUACCAUCCCUUUUCUUUUUCACUCUUCCUUAUUGUAUGCUUCCCUUUUCCUUUUUUUCCCUUUCAGACGAAUUGCCAAUAUGAGUACAUAUUUCAGAUUUCCUUUUAUUGGACAAGUAUGCCCCUCUCAUUCUAGAGAAUUAUGUAUGACCUACAUGUAUUUUUAUCUAAGAUGUUAUAAAAAAAAUUAUUAUUAUUUUAUGAAAACGUUAUAACGAUAACUUAAAUGGAUCGUGUUUGUUUGCAUCUUACUUAUCUUUUUGUAUCUUAAGAACUACAUUGUGAGUUAUUGUGAGUUGAGUAAUUUUCAGAUAAAUAUAACCAUCUUCCUUCUUGUAGAAAUUUGAUAUGAUAGGUUACAUAAAUUGUCCCUUAAAUAUCUUUUACAAAAAAGGUCAUUGUGGCAGUAAUUUAUUACAUAAACAGUAUUUUUGUUGUAUGAAAAACAUGACAAAAUGGUCUACUUUGUUGAAAUUUAUUUUAUUAUUCUAUGUGUAUUUGUUAACAUAUUUAACUUUCAUUCCAAUUAUUCAUCCUACCGAAACAAGUUUUAUAAAAAACAAUAGAUAUUUUUUAGCAUGGGAAAAUGUGGAUGCAUUGGCAAUGUUUAUUAAAUCACAUGCAUAUGAUCUAAGUCUUACGGUUGAUGAAGCUGUCUCACAACAAAUAGACAAUGAUAGACUGGUGAACAAAGAUCAAUUUGUAGGCAAUUGUUCUUAAGUUGGAUAAACAAGAGGAGCAACUAUAGAAAGUUCAUCUUCAUGUCAACUUUGGUGUUUUUUCCUCAACUAGUAUUUAUUUUGAUAGUUUAAUGUUUUGAGUAGUUAUUAGCACACUUUUAGAUUUUAGACUUAUUAUGCCUUCUGGAAGAUACUUUUGUUUUAAAUAUAGAGAAUAUUGUUGUAAUAUAGCUUAAGUUUUAAUUUAAAAAAUGGUUUUGUGUUUUGCA